rnacentral:rRNA from 1 species
GAUGAACGCUGGCGGCGUGCCUAAUACAUGCAAGUAGAACGCUGAAGCUUGGUGCUUGCACCGAGCGGAUGAGUUGCGAACGGGUGAGUAACGCGUAGGUAACCUGCCUCUUAGCGGGGGAUAACUAUUGGAAACGAUAGCUAAUACCGCAUAAAAGUCGACAUCGCAUGAUGUUGACUUGAAAGGUGCAAUUGCAUCACUAAGAGAUGGACCUGCGUUGUAUUAGCUAGUUGGUGAGGUAACGGCUCACCAAGGCGACGAUACAUAGCCGACCUGAGAGGGUGAUCGGCCACACUGGGACUGAGACACGGCCCAGACUCCUACGGGAGGCAGCAGUAGGGAAUCUUCGGCAAUGGGGGCAACCCUGACCGAGCAACGCCGCGUGAGUGAAGAAGGUUUUCGGAUCGUAAAGCUCUGUUGUAAGAGAAGAACGAGUGUGAGAGUGGAAAGUUCACACUGUGACGGUAACUUACCAGAAAGGGACGGC